rnacentral:rRNA from 1 species
ACGCUGGCGGCGUGCUUAACACAUGCAAGUCGAACGAUGACUUCUGUGCUUGCACAGAAUGAUUAGUGGCGAACGGGUGAGUAACACGUGAGUAACCUGCCCUUAACUUCGGGAUAAGCCUGGGAAACCGGGUCUAAUACCGGAUACGACCUCCUGGCGCAUGCCAUGGUGGUGGAAAGCUUUAGCGGUUUUGGAUGGACUCGCGGCCUAUCAGCUUGUUGGUUGGGGUAAUGGCCCACCAAGGCGACGACGGGUAGCCGGCCUGAGAGGGUGACCGGCCACACUGGGACUGAGACACGGCCCAGACUCCUACGGGAGGCAGCAGUGGGGAAUAUUGCACAAUGGGCGAAAGCCUGAUGCAGCGACGCCGCGUGAGGGAUGACGGCCUUCGGGUUGUAAACCUCUUUCAGCAGGGAAGAAGCGAAAGUGACGGUACCUGCAGAAGAAGCGCCGGCUAACUACGUGCCAGCAGCCGCGGUAAUACGUAGGGCGCAAGCGUUAUCCGGAAUUAUUGGGCGUAAAGAGCUCGUAGGCGGUUUGUCGCGUCUGCUGUGAAAGCCCGGGGCUCAACCCCGGGUCUGCAGUGGGUACGGGCAGACUAGAGUGCAGUAGGGGAGACUGGAAUUCCUGGUGUAGCGGUGAAAUGCGCAGAUAUCAGGAGGAACACCGAUGGCGAAGGCAGGUCUCUGGGCUGUAACUGACGCUGAGGAGCGAAAGCAUGGGGAGCGAACAGGAUUAGAUACCCUGGUAGUCCAUGCCGUAAACGUUGGGCACUAGGUGUGGGGGACAUUCCACGUUUUCCGCGCCGUAGCUAACGCAUUAAGUGCCCCGCCUGGGGAGUACGGCCGCAAGGCUAAAACUCAAAGGAAUUGACGGGGGCCCGCACAAGCGGCGGAGCAUGCGGAUUAAUUCGAUGCAACGCGAAGAACCUUACCAAGGCUUGACAUGAACCGGUAAGACCUGGAAACAGGUCCCCC